rnacentral:rRNA from 1 species
UACCAUGACCAAUUCACCCGGAAUGGGCCCGAUCUCGACAUGAUCUCAGGAAGAUAAGCGGGGUUGACCCUGGAUAGUGCUUAGAUAGAUUGACCCACCUCUGUGCAUAACAGAUGUUAUAGGCG